rnacentral:rRNA from 1 species
AUGCGCGACCCUGUGGUGGCGUCCACCGGCCAGACGUAUGACCGGCCAUCAAUCAUACAGUGGAUCGGGGAGGGCCAUUCCACCUGCCCAAAUUCAGGGCAGGCGCUGGCAGACAAUCGCCUUGUGCCGAAUCGUGCACUCCGCAGUUUGAUAUCACAGUGGUGUGGGUUGUAUUGUUUCCAGUAUGAUUCCCCAGAGAGCAACGAGGGGAUGGCCGAAUGCGUCGCCGCCGCGUGCAGCAGCAAGGCGGCAAUCGAGGCGAAUAAGGCCACAGCCAGGAUUCUGGUCAGGAUGCUGGUGGAGAGUUCAGAUAGCUCAAAGGCAGUCGCUGCCAAGGAAAUUAGGUUGCUGGCCAAGGCUGGGAAGCAGAACAGAGCGUUCAUCGCCGAGCUCGGUGCAAUCCCGUUGCUCUGCAGGCUGCUCCUGUCAUCAGAUCAGAUAGCGCAAGAGAACGCAGUGACGGCGCUGCUCAAUCUCUCCAUUUACGAGCCGAACAAAACGCGGAUUAUGGAACAGGAGGGUUGCUUGUGGCUUAUCGUCAGCGUGUUGCAGAAUGGCUGGACUACAGAGGCCAGAGAGAAUGCAGCAGCAACUCUGUUUAGUCUCUCCGUGGUCCAUGAUUACAAGAAGAUGAUCAUGAAUGAGCCAGGGGCUCUGGAGAAGCUGGCUUGUAUGCUGAAAAAAGGGUCGCCAAGGGGGAGGAAAGAUGCAGUGAUGGCACUUUUCAACCUCUCAACUCAUGCAGAAAGCUCAGCUCGGAUGCUUGAGUCAAGUGCAGUUGUAGCUUUAAUCGAGUCACUGAGGAACGACACCGUGUCGGAGGAAGCUGCCGGUGCUCUGGCUCUGCUCAUGAAGCAGCCUUCUGUUGUGCAUCUUGUUGGGAGCUCUGAAACUGUGAUCAGUAGCCUCGUUGGAUUAAUGAGACGGGGAACUCCAAAGGGCAAGGAGAAUGCAGUGUCCGCUCUAUACGAGAUAUGUCGCCGUGGUGGCUCAACAUUGGUUCGGAGAGUAGCAAAGAUUCCGGGGUUGAAUACGGUAAUACAGAACAUCAUGCUCACUGGAACAAAGCGCGCCAAGAAGAAAGCAAGCUUGAUCGUCAAGAUGUGCCAAAGAAGCCAAAUGCCGUCAGCAAUGUCGCUAGGGACUAGCUUGAGGGUGGUUGAUCAUUCUUUGGUAGGUAACAGCUCGUUGAGGCGUGCUGCGAGCUUUGGCAGUGGAGAGUUGUCGAAUCCCGUUUCGAUAUCAGUGCACGUGCCCUAG